rnacentral:rRNA from 1 species
UACGUAGGGCGCAAGCGUUAUCCGGAAUCAUUGGGCGUAAAGAGCUCGUAGGCGGUUUGUCGCGUCUGCCGUGAAAGCCCGGGGCUCAACUCCGGAUCUGCGGUGGGUACGGGCAGACUAGAGUGAUGUAGGGGAGACUGGAAUUCCUGGUGUAGCGGUGAAAUGCGCAGAUAUCAGGAGGAACACCGAUGGCGAAGGCAGGUCUCUGGGCAUUAACUGACGCUGAGGAGCGAAAGCAUGGGGAGCGAACAGG